rnacentral:rRNA from 1 species
ACUCCUACGGGAGGCAGCAGUGGGGAAUAUUGCGCAAUGGGCGGAAGCCUGACGCAGCGACGCCGCGUGGGGGAUGACGGCCUUCGGGUUGUAAACCUCUUUCGGCCUUGACGAAGCUCUUCGGGGUGACGGUAGGGGUAGAAGAAGCACCGGCCAACUACGUGCCAGCAGCCGCGGUAAUACGUAGGGUGCGAGCGUUGUCCGGAAUUAUUGGGCGUAAAGAGCUCGUAGGCGGUCUGUCGCGUCGGUCGUGAAAACUUGGGGCUUAACCCUGAGCUUGCGGUCGAUACGGGCAUGACUGGAGUUCGGCAGGGGAGACUGGAAUUCCUGGUGUAGCGGUGAAAUGCGCAGAUAUCAGGAGGAACACCGGUGGCGAAGGCGGGUCUCUGGGCCGAUACUGACGCUGAGGAGCGAAAGCGUGGGGAGCGAACAGGAUUAGAUACCCUGGUAGUCCACGCCGUAAACGGUGGGCGCUAGGUGUGGGGGCCAUUCCACGGUCUCUGUGCCGCAGCUAACGCAUUAAGCGCCCCGCCUGGGGAGUACGGCCGCAAGGCUAAAACUCAAAGGAAUUGACGGGGGCCCGCACAAGCGGCGGAGCAUGUGGAUUAAUUCGAUGCAACGCGAAGAACCUUACCUGGGUUUGGCAUGCACCAGACGCGGUCAGAGAUGG